rnacentral:rRNA from 1 species
CCUACGGGAGGCAGCAGUGAGGAAUAUUGGUCAAUGGUCGGGAGACUGAACCAGCCAAGCCGCGUGAGGGAUGAAGGUACAGAGUAUCGUAAACCUCUUUUGUCAGGGAACAAAGGCGGGGACGUGUCCCCGGAUGAGUGUACCUGAAGAAAAAGCAUCGGCUAACUCCGUGCCAGCAGCCGCGGUAAUACGGAGGAUGCGAGCUUUAUCCGGAUUUAUUGGGUUUAAGGGGUGCGCAGGUGGUAUGUUAAGUCAGCGGGCAAAGCCCGGGGCUCAACCCCGGCCCGCCGUUGAAACUGGGAGUCUCGAGUUGGAGAGAAGUAUGCGGAAUGCGCGGUGUAGCGGUGAAAUGCAUAGAUAUCGCGCAGAACUCCGAUUGCGAAGGCAGCAUGCCGGCUCCACACUGACGCUGAGGCACGAAAGCGUGGGUAUCGAACAGGAUUAGAUACCCUUGUAGUC